AUGAUACAUUGGCCGGUACAGAGGGUUGCGUUACCUUGAUUUGGAACGAAUCCCUUUUUGAAGGGUUUCAGUUCGGAUCGGGGUCUGCAACUCGACCCCGUGAAGUUGGAGUCGCUAGUAAUCGCAGAUCAGCAACGCUGCGGUGAAUACGUUCCCGGGCCUUGUACACACCGCCCGUCACGUCAUGAAAGUCGGUAACACCCGAAGCCGGUGGCCUAACCCUUGUGGAGGGAGCCGUCGAAUGGUGGA
rnacentral:rRNA from 1 species